rnacentral:rRNA from 1 species
AUUGAACGCUGGCGGCAGGCCUAACACAUGCAAGUCGAACGGAGUGGCGAACGGGUGAGUUAUGUCUGGGAAUCUGCAUGGUAGAGGGGGCACGCGUUCGGAAACGGAAGCUAAUAACGCAUACUAGCAGAGGAGCCUAGGUAGGAUUAGCUAGUUGGUGAGGUAAUGGCUCACCAAGGCUACGAUCCGUAACUGGUCUGAGAGGAUGAUCAGUCACACUGGAACUGAGACACGGUCCAGACUCCUACGGGAGGCAGCAGUGGGGAAUAUUGGACAAUGGGCGAAAGCCUGAUCCAGCCAUGCCGCGUGUGUGAAGAAGGUCUUCGGAUUGUAAAGCACUUUAAGUUGGGAGGCGUUACCGACAGAAUAAGCACCGGCUAACUCUGUGCCAGCAGCCGCGGUAAUUC